AUCUUUCAAAAUAAAAAAAGAAAUUAGUUUUCUUCAUUAUUCAGAAUGACCUUGUCAUUCCAUAUAUAAAUUAAUAAAAUUUGAAAAUAUACUUCCCAAUUUAUACAACCAAACAAAUUAUUAUUGCUGCAGUGAUUUUUUACUGUAUCCAACCAAAUAAAAUUAUGUAGUUGUAAAUGCUACAUAUUUUGCUGCAUAUAUUUCCAAAUGUGUUGCAUUUACAAUUUGCAUAUUCUGAUUCUACACAACUUAUAAAGCUGAUAUUGGAAAGACCCCUCGAUUAAUUAAGAUAAAAAUGUAUAGAAUAUCCGAACAUCUUCUUAAUUUUAUCAUCUAACUUUUCAAUUUGUUUGAUUUGAGUCAGUCAACAGUAUUUUAACUGGUAAUUUUGAGUGCGUAGUUUAUCUUCACAGAUUUAGUUAAUAUAUUUUAUAUAAUUAUUAUAAAGAGCUUAAAUUCUAAAGUUUGGAAUUAAAAUUUUAGAUCAGUAAAAUUAAAAUUUUGAAAGAUUAAGUGGUUAAUUCAAAACAGUUUGUAGUU
rnacentral:lncRNA from 1 species